UCUUAUUAAGAGUGGUGGAGGGAUUGGCCCUUUGAAGCCCAGCAACCUAUAUUUUUAUGUGGUGCUAAAUCCUGCAGGUAUAUAACCUGACAGAUAAGA
rnacentral:ncRNA from 1 species